rnacentral:misc_RNA from 1 species
UCUCCGUUGGUGAACCAGCGGAGGGAUCAUUACCGAGUUUACAACUACCAAACCCCGAUGGUAACGUUACCUAACUGUUUCCUCGGCGGGAAAUUCAUGCCCCGGGCGCGUCGCGGGCCCGGACCAAGGCGCCCGCCGGAGGACCAACCAAAACUCUUUUGUAUGUGCCUCGCGGACUAUUAUAAUCCUGCACCAUCUCGGGGCCGCUAGCGGGCGUUUCGAAAAUGAAUCAAAACUUUCAACAACGGAUCUCUUGGUUCUG